AAGUCGUAACAAGGUAACCGUAGGUGAACCUGCGGUUGGAUCAUUAUUGUAUCCCAACUUAUCUCUUUUGAAAGAGUGUAGUGUGCAAACGCUCCUCUCUUUCAAAAGGAUAAACACACCGUGUGAACUUUUUUCUGUCUUUUGCUGAUGCUCGGUACUUGUAUACGCUGAUGAAGAGCUUUAGGGCUCCCAGUCAGAGUUUAAGAGUAUACGGUCAGCAAAACAACUUAUAAACCCCUAGAUUAACAUCCAGUCUUAAAAACUACUUUAUCAAUAAGAUAAAAACAACUUUUGACAACGGAUCUCUAGGCUCUC
rnacentral:misc_RNA from 1 species